AACGAACGCUGGCGGCAUGCCUAACACAUGCAAGUCGAACGAGACCUUCGGGUCUAGUGGCGCACGGGUGCGUAACGCGUGGGAACCUGCCCUUAGGUUCGGAAUAACUCCCCGAAAGGGGUGCUAAUACCGGAUAAUUUCUUCGGACCAAAGAUUUAUCGCCUUUGGAUGGGCCCGCGUUGGAUUAGCUAGUUUGUAGGGUAAAAGCCUACCAAGGCGCCGAUCCAUAGCUGGUCUGAGAGGAUGAUCAGCCACACUGGGACUGAGACACGGACCAGAAUGGGACGGGAGGCAGGGGUAGGGAAUAUGGGACAAGGGGGGAAAGUGUGAGAAAGAAAUGCCGCGUGAGUGAUGAAGGCGUUAGGAUUGUAAAGCUAGUUUAACCGGGAGGAUAAUGACAGUACCGGGAGAAUAAGCACCGGCUAACUCCGUG
rnacentral:rRNA from 1 species